UGCAGUCGAACGGACCAGGUGGAAGGCAACGGAAGCCUGGUUAGUGGCGGACGGGUGAGUAAUGCAUGGACAACGUACCCUGGACACAGGGAUAGCGGCGGGGCCUUCGGGCUCCUUUGCGAAAGUGCCGGUAAUACCUGAUGACACCGCGUGGUCGCAUGGCUGUGCGGUCAAAGUUCAAGCGGUCUGGGAUCGGUCCAUGUCCUAUCAGCUUGUUGGUGGGGUGAUGGCCUACCAAGGCAUCGACGGGUAGCGGGCGUGAGAGCGCGACCCGCCACAUCGGGACUGAGACACGGCCCGGACACCUACGGGUGGCUGCAGCAACGAAUCUUCCGCAAUGGGCGCAAGCCUGACGGAGCGACGCCGCGUGUUGGAAGAAGUCCUUCGGGAUGUAAACAACUGUCAGGGGUGAGGAAUCAAUUGACCAGCCCCAGAGGAAGCACCGGCUAACUCCGUGCCAGCAGCCGCGGUAAUACGGAGGGUGCGAGCGUUGUUCGGAAUCACUGGGCUUAAAGGGCGCGCAGGCGGGACGGAGGGUGUCACAGUGAAAUCCCUCGGCUCAACCGAGGAAUAGCUUGGCAAACCGCCGUUCUAGAGGCAGGUAGAGGCAACUGGAACUAUGGGUGGAGCGGUGAAAUGCGUAGAUAUCCAUGGGAACGCCGGUGGCGAAAGCGGGUUGCUGGGCCUGUCCUGACGCU
rnacentral:rRNA from 1 species